UGGUCAUACAUUUCAAAGCAGCAGAUUACAAAGCAUAUAUAUAAUUUUCUUUGCCAUAUCAUCUUUGGAUGUAAUCCUUUCAGAUCUCUCACAAGUUCCCCCAGACAGAAGGAUGAUGGAUAAGGAAUAUAAGAAGGAACAGAAAAAAAGUAUAAGAAACUCCAGGUGAAAGGGUCGUCCUGAGAUUCCUCUGUGAGAGACAAACUUGCGUCCCUGCCUGCUCUCCAACUCAUCUCUGAGCAUGUGCUAAGAGUGCAAAACCCCGUGUGAGUGCCCCAGACCUCAAAGCAUCUAGUGAGCGUUCAUUAACUUCACCUAAACCUGCAAC